rnacentral:rRNA from 1 species
AGUGAACGCUGGCGGUAGGCCUAACACAUGCAAGUCGAACGGCAGCACAGGAGAGCUUGCUCUCUGGGUGGCGAGUGGCGGACGGGUGAGGAAUACAUCGGAAUCUACUCUGUCGUGGGGGAUAACGUAGGGAAACUUACGCUAAUACCGCAUACGACCUACGGGUGAAAGCAGGGGACCUUCGGGCCUUGCGCGAUUGAAUGAGCCGAUGUCGGAUUAGCUAGUUGGCGGGGUAAAGGCCCACCAAGGCGACGAUCCGUAGCUGGUCUGAGAGGAUGAUCAGCCAAACUGGAACUGGGACACGGUCCAGACUCCUACGGGAGGCAGCAGUGGGGAAUAUUGGACAAUGGGCGCAAGCCUGAUCCAGCCAUACCGCGUGGGUGAAGAAGGCCUUCGGGUUGUAAAGCCCUUUUGUUGGGAAAGAAAUCCAGCUGGCUAAUACCCGGUUGGGAUGACGGUACCCAAAGAAUAAGCACCGGCUAACUUCGUGCCAGCCGCCGCAGUAA